rnacentral:lncRNA from 1 species
GCGUCUACCAAAACCAUACUAGAAGAGUAACAAUCAAUAGAGGAGACUAACAUGGUAUCAGAAUAUAGAAUUUACAAAAUGUAUUAAACGUACUAAAAGCUAAAGUAUAACAAAAACAAACUCCACUAAAGUCAACAGAAAGUAAGAGUAUAAAACUGUAAAGUACAACUCUCCAACAACCCAUAUACAUCACAUGGUCACAAAAUAGCUAUAUAUACAUGUGAUAGUCUCUCUAUACAUAAGUCAUCACCGUCGUCAACAAACUCAAAACAGCAAGGUUAUCACCUAGCGGGACUCUAAGCUAUGCCUAACUAGACGCGACUUCCUUGCCGCGAUCCCUAGCCUCUCCCGCAGUGGAUGGCUCUGUAAAUAAAACAACAACAAAUAGGGCGUGAGAACUAUUAGUCAAUAAUUCCCAGUGGGUAAGCCGCCGACCUCAGCGAAUUACACCACUAGGUUCAAAACGUAAAAAGAAAAACCAUGUACAACUACAACAUGAUAGGGAUAACAAUGAUAAUAAGCAACUAAUGAGUAAUAGAACUACUAUAUUUCCAAGGCAACAACUAUAAUGCAACAGGUAAAGUAACUACUCUACACAGGUAAGCAUGCUAUAUCAUCUCAUAAAUGCACACUAUCUAGUAGUGAUCAUUAUAUCAAUACAAUUUAGUAUCUUGUUCAAUUCAUAAGGAGCUACACAAGGUAGUCCGGCUUAUGCCACGCCUAAUGGCCACGUGGUAGUAUGCACUCCCCACGGUAAUCCACUUCAACAUCCAAUCCCGCAUGGGCGAGCACAAUAUCGCGUAGGCCAACUCCGGAGUGCCUGCUUGUGGGGAGCGACCCUCACAAGCAUGUGCGAAUGAGCACAAUGGUAAGCAAGCAUGAUCCAUAGUAUAAAGUCCUCAAUCGUCAUGUCUCAAACAUGAAAUAUCCUCUACCGACCUAUAGGUCAGGAUCUAAGUACAAUAUCAGGUGCUAUUAUCAACUAGAUCAUAGCUAGUAACAUGAAGUACAUGCUAGUUUUAUCAAUUAGAUGCCAAGUUUAACUUGUCUACAUAAGUAUUUUGACCACUUUCUAAUACAUGUUUCAUAUGUUCAAUACAUGUACAAUACCCACUAGGUUAUAAUAACAACAUAUCAUUCUUGCUAGUCUAAGCAUAGUAUACUCGUUCACAACUUGCCUAUACAAGUAUAUGCGUUAUUAUGCAAGGAAUUUAACCUCUUUAGCUCUCUAUCAUAUAGAGGAUAACCUGCCAUAUGAUGUAAAUAUGUUACUAGUACAUCCAACAAUUCACUUACGAUACCGUUAGCGAAACAUAGGCAUAAUUCUAGCUCUAUGCCAAGAAUAAGAAUAUAGGGAGAAUUCACCCAUUUCGGUGAGGUCAAACCCACCAAAUUGUCGACGACUCUCGUCGAUUUCGCGAGCGAAGAUGUUCACUAGUCUCCAAGCACCUUAACAAGCAUACUAAUUAAGUUAGAAGCUUGGAUUUAACCUUUACAAAAAAACUCACAUAAACAUUUAACCUAGGUAGAAUCAUACCUAGCAUAGAAUCUAAACUUGAACUCCACUUCAAUUUAGGUUAGAACACACCAAAGCCAACCUUCCAAUGAUCACAAAUCUCAACCCAAAAGGAUCCAAUAACCUGCUGUGAACCAAUACACAUAAACUCCUUCAAUACUACUACCAACACAUCAAACUAGUAGAAAAGUUAGCUAGUUCACCUUUUACAGCUUUAACUCAGUUUCUACUGCGUUAGGAUUGAAGAACCAUAGCCAAACACUUCUUCUACAGCUGCUACAAGCCUCCCCAAA